GACAACCUGGUUGAUCCUGCCAGUAGUCAUAUGCUUGUCUCAAAGAUUAAGCCAUGCAUGUCUCAGUACAAGCCAAAUUAAGGUGAAACCGCGAAAGGCUCAUUAAAUCAGUUAUGGUUCCUUAGAUCGUACCAACAUUUACUUGGAUAACUGUGGUAAUUCUAGAGCUAAUACAUGCAAACAGAGCUUCGACCGGAGACGGAAGAGGCGCUUUUAUUAGAUCAAAACCAAUCGGCGGCGAGUUCGCUUGCGGGCUCGUCGUCGUUUUCACUGACGAAUCUGAAUAACUUUCUGCUGAUCGCACGGUCUCGCACCGGCGACGCAUCUUUCAAAUGUCUGCCUUAUCAACUGUCGAUGGUAGGUUCUGUGCCUACCAUGGUUGUAACGGGUAACGGGGAAUCAGGGUUCGAUUCCGGAGAGGGAGCCUGAGAAACGGCUACCACAUCCAAGGAAGGCAGCAGGCGCGCAAAUUACCCACUCCCGGCACGGGGAGGUAGUGACGAAAAAUAACGAUACGGGACUCAUCCGAGGCCCCGUAAUCGGAAUGAGAACAAUUUAAAUCCUUUAACGAGGAUCAAUUGGAGGGCAAGUCUGGUGCCAGCAGCCGCGGUAAUUCCAGCUCCAAUAGCGUAUAUUAAAGUUGUUGCGGUUAAAAAGCUCGUAGUCGAAUCUGUGUCCCGCGCCGCCGGUUCGUCGCUCGCGGCGUUUAACUGGCGUGUCCGCGGGACGUCCUGCCGGUGGGCUUAGCCUUUUCACGAAGGCGGCCCAAUCUUAAUCCCGCCGCGGUGCUCUUCACCGAGUGUCGAGGCGGGCCGGCACGUUUACUUUGAACAAAUUAGAGUGCUUAAAGCAGGCUAAAACUUCGCCUGAAUACUUCGUGCAUGGAAUAAUGGAAUAGGACCUCGGUUCUAUUUUGUUGGUUUUCGGAACCCCGAGGUAAUGAUUAAUAGGAACGGAUGGGGGCAUUCGUAUUGCGACGUUAGAGGUGAAAUUCUUGGAUCGUCGCAAGACGGACAGAAGCGAAAGCAUUUGCCAAAAACGUUUUCAUUGAUCAAGAACGAAAGUUAGAGGUUCGAAGGCGAUCAGAUACCGCCCUAGUUCUAACCAUAAACGAUGCCAGCUAGCGAUCCGCCGACGUUCCUCCGAUGACUCGGCGGGCAGCUUCCGGGAAACCAAAGCUUUUGGGUUCCGGGGGAAGUAUGGUUGCAAAGCUGAAACUUAAAGGAAUUGACGGAAGGGCACCACCAGGAGUGGAGCCUGCGGCUUAAUUUGACUCAACACGGGAAACCUCACCAGGCCCGGACACCGGAAGGAUUGACAGAUUGAGAGCUCUUUCUUGAUUCGGUGGGUGGUGGUGCAUGGCCGUUCUUAGUUGGUGGAGCGAUUUGUCUGGUUAAUUCCGAUAACGAACGAGACUCA
rnacentral:rRNA from 1 species